UACCUGUACCUAAAACCGACACAGGUAGGUUGGUAGAGAAUACCAAGGGGCGCGGGAGAACUCUCUCUAAGGAACUCGGCAAACUGGCCCCGUAACUUCGGAAGAAGGGGCGCCUUCUCUUAUGGGAAGGUCGCAGUGACCAGGCUCAUGCAACUGUUUAUCAAAAACACAGGUCUCCGCAAAGUCGAAAGACAAAAUAUGGGGGCUGACGCCUGCCCAGUGCCGGAAGGUUAAGGAAGUUGGUUAUUCUUUUAGUAGAAAAAGCCGACGACCGAAGCCCCGGUGAACGGCGGUCGUAACAAUAACGAUCCUAAGGUAGCGAAAUUCAUUGUCGAGUAAGUUUCGACCUGCACGAAAGGCGUAAUGAUGUGAGCACUGUCUCGGAGAGAGACUCGGUGAAAUAGACUUGUCCGUGAAGAUGCGGACUACCUGCACCUGGACAGAAAGACCCUGUGCAGCUUGACUGUAUCCUGGAAUUGGGUUCGGGCUUUUCUUGCGCAGCCUAGGUGGGAGGCUUUGAAGAUUCCCUUCCGGGGGAAUUUGAGCCGUCAUUGAGAGACCACUCUGGAAGAGCUAGAAUCCUAAUGGUGAUCUUUGAAUCAAGACACUUGACAGUUUCAGGUGGGCAGUUUAUCUGGGGCGGAUACCUCCUAAAGGGUAACGGAGGUGUGCAAUGGUUCCCUCAGUCUGGAAAAAUCAGACAUUGAGUAUAAAGGCAAAAGGGAGCUUGACUGCAAGACCUACAAGUCGAGCAGGGGCGAAAGCCGGCCUUAGUGAUCCGACGGUUCCGUGUGGAAGGGCCGUCGCUCAACGGAUAAAAGUUACACCAGGAUAACAGGCUUAUCUUCCCCAAGAGUCCACAUCGACGGGAAGGUUUGGCACCUCGAUGUCGGCUCAUCACAUCCUGGAGCGGUAGUACGUUCCAAGGGUUGGGCUGUUCGCCCAUUAAAGUGGUACGUGAGCUGGGUUCAAAACGUUGUGAAACAGUUUGGUCCAUAUCCGGUGUAGGCGUUGGAAUAUUGAGAGGAACCAAAAAUAGUACGAGAGGAUUUUUUUGGACAAACCAAUGGUGUAUCGGUUCUCACUCCAGUGGGAAACGCCGAGUAGCUAUGUUUGGAUUAGAUAACUGCUGAAAGCAUAUAAGUAGGAAGCUAACCUCAAGAUGAGUAUUCCCCAUUAGGCCGCGGGAAGAUAACCCGAUCGAUAGGUGUUAGGUGUAAGGCUAGUAAUAGUUUCAGCCAAGACAUACUAAAGGCCAAUUGAU
rnacentral:rRNA from 1 species